rnacentral:rRNA from 1 species
UCCCAGACUCCUACGGGAGGCAGCAGUCGGGAAUAUUGCGCAAUGGAGGAAACUCUGACGCAGUGACGCCGCGUGCAGGAAGAAGGUUUUCGGAUUGUAAACUGCUUUAGACAGGGAAGAAACAAGACAGUACCUGUAGAAUAAGCUCCGGCUAACUACGUGCCAGCAGCCGCGGUAAUACGUAGGGAGCAAGCGUUAUCCGGAUUUAUUGGGUUUAAAGGGUGCGCAGGCGGAUUUUUAAGUCAGCGGUCAAAUCGUGGGGCUCAACCCCAGCCAGCCGUUGAAACUGGGGAUCUAGAGUGUGCGAGAGGUAUGCGGAAUGCGUGGUGUAGCGGUGAAAUGCAUAGAUAUCACGCAGAACCCCGAUUGCGAAGGCAGCAUACCGGUGCACAACUGACGCUCAGGCACGAAAGCGUGGGUAUCGAACAGGAUUAGAUACCCGGGUAA